CCAAUAGCGUAUAUUAAAGUUGUUGCAGUUAAAAAGCUCGUAGUUGAAUUUCGGGAUCAAGGUGCUGGUCAUGCCUUUGGUAUGUACUGACAUCAUUGAUUUCUCCCUUCUGAUGAACUGUGAUGUCAUUAAUUUGGUGUCAUGGAGAAUCAGGACUGUUACUUUGAAAAAAUUAGAGUGUUUAAAGCAAGCACACGCUUGAAUACAUUAGCAUGGAAUAAUAAAAUAGGAUGUUUGAUCCUAUUUUGUUGGUUUCUAGGAUCGACGUAAUGAUUAAUAGGGAUAGUUGGGGGCAUUAGUAUUCAAUUGUCAGAGGUGAAAUUCUUGGAUUUAUUGAAGACUAACUACUGCGAAAGCAUUUGCCAAGGAUGUUUUCAUUAAUCAAGAACGAAAGUUAGGGGAUCGAAGACGAUCAGAUACCGUCGUAGUCUUAACCAUAAACUAUGCCGACUAGGGAUCGGAUGAUGUUAAUUUUUAAUGACUCAUUCGGCACCUUACG
rnacentral:rRNA from 1 species